AUUGAACGCUGGCGGCAUGCUUUACACAUGCAAGUCGAACGGCAGCACGGGCUUCGGCCUGGUGGCGAGUGGCGAACGGGUGAGUAAUAUAUCGGAACGUACCCAGAAGUGGGGGAUAACGUAGCGAAAGUUACGCUAAUACCGCAUACGAUCUAUGGAUGAAAGCAGGGGACCGCAAGGCCUUGUGCUCCUGGAGCGGCCGAUAUCUGAUUAGCUAGUUGGUGAGGUAAAGGCUCACCAAGGCGACGAUCAGUAGCUGGUCUGAGAGGACGACCAGCCACACCUGAACUGGGACACGGUCCCGACUCCUACGGGAGGCAGCAGUGGGGAAUUUUUGACAAUUGGCGGAAAGCUUGUCCAAGCAUGGCGCGGUGGUGGAAGAAGCCUUCCGGUUUGUAAGGCUUUUUUUCAGGGAAGAAACGGUUGAGGCUAAUAUCCCUUGGCAAUGACGGUACCUGAAAAAUAAGCACCGGCUAACUACGUU
rnacentral:rRNA from 1 species